rnacentral:tRNA from 1 species
GGGGAUGUGGCUCAAGUGGUAGAGCGCUUGCCUAGCAUGCGUGAGGCACUGGGUUCGAUUCUCAGCACCA